GCCUGUUUAUCAAAAACAUGGCUCUCUGUACUAAAACAAAUAGAGAGUCGGACCUGCCCGGUGAUAAUUUUUAACGGCCGCGGUACCCUGACCGUGCAAAGGUAGCAUAAUCAUUUGCCUUGUAAUUUAAGGCUAGUAUGAAAGGUUUGACAAGAAUAUAACUGUCUCCUUUUGGUUUAAUAGAAUUUUACUUAUAAGUGAAGAGACUUAUAUAUAAUUAAUAGACAAGAAGACCCUAUCGAGCUUGAAAGAAAUUAAUAGAAAUAGCUGAAAUAAAUAAAUUAAAAUCGAAUCUAUUAAAAAUUUUGGUUGGGGCGACCAAGGAACAACUAAAGCUUCCUGUCUAAUUUAUACUUUCAAGUAGUGAUCCAGAAAAUUCUGAUUAAAGGAAAUAGUUACCGUAGGGAUAACAGCAUUAUCUUUUUUGAGAGCUCUUAUCGAAAAAAAGGUUUGUGACCUCGAUGUUGGACCAGAAUAUCCCAAAGAUGUAGCAGUCUUUAAAGGUUGGUCUGUUCGACCAUUAAAAUUCUACGUGAUCUGAGUUCA
rnacentral:rRNA from 1 species